rnacentral:rRNA from 1 species
GNCGCUAGCGGGAAUGCCUUACACAUGCAAGUCGAACGGNAGCACGGACUUCGGUCUGGUGGCGAGUGGCGAACGGGUGAGUAAUGUAUCGGAACGUGCCUAGUAGCGGGGGAUAACUACGCGAAAGCGUGGCUAAUACCGCAUACGCCCUACGGGGGAAAGCAGGGGAUCGCAAGACCUUGCACUAUUAGAGCGGCCGAUAUCGGAUUAGCUAGUUGGUGGGGUAAUGGCUCACCAAGGCGACGAUCCGUAGCUGGUUUGAGAGGACGACCAGCCACACUGGGACUGAGACACGGCCCAGACUCCUACGGGAGGCAGCAGUGGGGAAUUAUGGACAAUGGGGGAAACCCUGAUCCAGCCAUCCCGCGUGUGCGAUGAAGGCCUUCGGGUUGUAAAGCACUUUUGGCAGGAAAGAAACGUCAUGGGUUAAUACCCCGUGAAACUGACGGUACCUGCAGAAUAAGCACUCGGCUAACUAC